rnacentral:lncRNA from 1 species
UGGUUAGAAAUGCUGGAUCUCAAUCCCAACCCAACCUAAGGAACUGGAAUCUGCAUUUUAACAAGAUGCCCUGGUGAUUUGUGUGUACCCAUAGGCUGCUCAGCAACCUAUGAUGUUGCCUGUUGUGAACCUAAGCGGGGGAACUAACUGGAUUCCUUUCUGUGGGAAUUUCAGUAGAAAACAUCUCAAGAAUGAGGGAGAAAAGCAAUGAAAGCAGAAGCUGAAAGGUUGAGAUGAAAAAAGUAAAUGGAGAAAACAUUUUCCACCCUGUUCUGGGUCUUGGAAGUGCCAAUUUGUGUGGACCUCAUUACUGACUCCCAUCCACUAGCUUCUGGUAGGCUUUGGCCCUUGGGAGCCAUCAGAAAGGCAAGAAAUCAGACGGCAGGAGUAGAGGGAUACUGUGAAUGCUUUCAAACAAAAUCUUCGAUGAAACCCUAUAUAUGGAACAGGCGAAUGUGGAGCUGCUGUUACUGUAUGCAACCUGAACAAUGAGAUGCAGUACCCUGGGCUUUGUUUCCUAAGGAAGCAACCUGUAACAUCCCCUAACUUGAGAAGAGUUUGGGACACCACUUGAGGCCAAGACCUCUGAGUGUAACAACAGACUGAGAGAAUUCCUGAUUGGGGAUCUGGAAACUCCAGGAGAUUGGACCUGCACCAGAGAGAAAAUUUGGAAGAGAUGGAGGCAGAUGUCGGCAUAAAUCAAGUCCGCGGGGCAUGGAGGCUGCUGUCGCUGCAGCAGCUCAGCUUGCCCGGGGCGGGAACUCCCCCUUUCUCCUUUCGCCUCCCCAGCACCCACACCCUGUCUCCCCCUUAAUUCUUCCCUGGAUAAUAGCACCCUAACGACAACAGUCAUAAUAAUAGGGUUAGAACGACAGGGGAGGAAAACUCAACAGCCUAAAUAUCUCUGAAAACUGCAUCGCAAAAUGGAAGAAAGAGGGGGUCCCACUACUGUUUCAAAAGGGAGCCAUGGAAGUCAAAUGCUGAGGAUGGUGGCAUCAUAGGAUGAAUGGAGCUGGGUUCUUGAAACACUGCCUGGAGGAAAGACAGCAAAAAUGCCUCAUGAAUCCAACUGGACUGUUAGGAUGCUCACCCUUGGAGACCAGCAACAAUGUGUGCAGAAACCCAGGCCAUGUGGAGAGGCCCCACAUACGUGUCCAACUGAGGUCCCAGCUGACAGCUGGCAUUGACAUGUGAGUGAGACUCUGAACGUUCCAGCUGAUGACAAGUACAGUUUGAGCGAGCUAUCCCUGUUGGGCCUGUCAAAACUGCAGAUUUCAUGAAGAAAAUAAGUGUUGUUGACUUAAGCCAGUAAGUUUUGACAUACUAUGUUACACGAAAACAGAGCUUCCUGAAAAACAACUAUUGAAGGAAUAUGAGUCACUGUCAAAAUUGUGAGUCAUCCAUUUCUUCUUGCCAGUGCAGCACACUCCCAGGGGACACGUGGCUUCACUCCUGAACAAGUUCAGUAAGCAGUGCUGGAGAGAAUACUGAAAACGUUAAAGAAUUAUGAAUACAGCUCAGAUCUCACUUUCCUGUUUUUUAGAUUUUGGGAAUUCAUUCAGGUGGAAACAGCAUUUCUUGCCAUCACAUGAUGGGGGUGUCCCCCUCUGCCAUGUUUCCCAUCAGUUCUAUCUUCCUCCUUCCGGGCGAUCAGAAGCCAGGGAUCUCUGGGCACCUAUGUGCCUGGGCCUGCUGGGGCGACCGGGGAGGCCCCUGCUCUCGUCCUCUGACGCUCAGCGCUGGCCCAGCCGCGACCUUGGGCUCCCGGAGCCCGGCGGAGGCGCCCAGGCGUGAAUGAUGUCCCUUGGAAUGUUCACUCUGGGGGAAGCCAGCUGCCACGCUGUAAGGACACUCGGGCAGUCCUAUGAAGAGGCCCGUGUGGUGAGAAAGAGAGGCCUCCAGCCAACAGCCAUGUGAGUGGGCCAUUGAGGAAGCAGCCUCAGUGCCUGCAGCCCUGACUGGCAUCCUGAACUACCACCUUAAAUGAGACCCUGAGCCAGAGUCACUACUUCCAAAUUCUUGACCCACAGAAAUUGUGAAAUAAUAUUUGUUGUUUUAAGCCGCCAAGUUUUGGGAGUAAUUUGUUAUAUAGCAAAAGAUAAUUAAUACAUUCACUUCCUAAGAUUAUGGUGAAGAAUUAAGGAUACAGCAUGAAAAGAACUUUGCUAUUAUUUUUAUUAUCUGAUCCAAUUUAUGUUGAAGGGCCUUCAGUACUUUCUUCUUUUACUCUAUCUUGACAUUUGUCUGAAACAUUUUUGUUUGUUUGUUUGUUUGUUUGUUUGUUUUUUAGAGAUGGGGUCUUGCUAUGUUUCCCAGUUGGAGUGCAGUGAUUAUUCACAGACAUGAUCCCACUACUGAUCAGCAUGGGAGUUUUCACCUGCUCCAUUUCCCACCUGGGAGGUCAUCAUAUUGAUGGCGAGCUAAGUGUGGACACCUGAUCAGCAUAGCACAGUACAGCCCAGAACCCCUGGGCUCCAGUGAUCCUCUUACUUCAGCCUCUUGAGUAGCUGGAACUACAGGCCUGCACCACUGCACCCGGCUAGUUUGUUUUUGUUAGAGUUUUGUCUCUAGGAUUUUCCUCAGCUGAGUAUGUGAAGGCUAACUUCUCCUUGUGAAUCUGCAAAUAUCCUUAUUUUACCCUUUAUUUUACCAUGUAUCAUUUACAGGUAAAUGAUAUCUUAGCUGUGUAUUGAAUUUCUGUUUUUUGUUUUUUCUUCAGUACUCUAUAAAUAUUACUCCAGUAUCUUCUAGCUUCUCCCAUUUUCUCCUAGUGAAUGGUUAUUCUGCUCUUAUCUAGCAGGUGAUAAAUCUGUCAACAGAUAGUUUUUCCUUUUUGUUUU